ACUGGGUUGGCCGAGUGGUUAAGGCGUUGGACUUAAGUUACAAUGGACAAGUGUCCGCGUGGAUUCGAACCCCACACCCAGUA
rnacentral:tRNA from 1 species